rnacentral:rRNA from 1 species
CACGUAGGAGGCAAACGUUAUCCGGAUUUACUGGGCGUAAAGCGCGUGUAGGUGGUUCUGUAAGUAGGGCGUGAAAGCUCCCAGCUCAACUGGGAGAGGCCGUUCUAAACUGCAGAGCUAGAGGAUGGUAGAGGGAGGUGGAAUUCCAGGUGUAGCGGUGGAAUGCGCAGAUAUCUGGAGGAACACCAGUGGCGAAGGCGGCCUCCUGGACCAUUCCUGACACUCAGACGCGAAAAGCUAGGGUAGCAAACGGGAUUAGGAUACCCCGGUAGU